AGCUGGGCAGCCCCGUGGGCGCUGGGCACCGAGAGCCCACUGGAGGCGGCGUGUGGGAGAAGCCACGGAGAUGCGGUUCCCUUUGCCUGACUCACGCCCUGCUCAACUUCUGAGCCAAGCGAGAAGCUCCAUUAAAUAGCGGCCGCGGCCCCCGCCCCCCUCCGCCUGCCGCGGGCAUCCGCGAAAAGAGCCGAGUAAGAGCCGAAGAUGACACCGAGCCGCCCGAUUGGUCAGAUCGUCGACUGGAAAGCAGACGGCGCGCUCAUUGGCUGCCGAUGCCAGCGAGGGCCGGGCCACGCCCCCCUCGCCACCUUCGCGCGGGCGAUCCCAGUGAAACAUAUAUACUUGAAGUCGCUGAGGAUGUAUCUUAUGGCACCUUCCUGCCCUGCCAGACUCCUGCUAGAAUUACUAUGUUGCCCAGAUGGGGGAGGGCCGGAACGGGAAGAUGCUGUUU